rnacentral:misc_RNA from 1 species
GCACGAAUUGAAAGUGCCAAUGCUUUGGCAAGAAAUCAUUUUUUGACAACAAUCUUCUUAAAGCCUCGUUCAAUUCCAUUAAACUCUGAGGGAAGCCAAGUUCAUCAAUCAAUUCACUAAACCAUUACAGGAAAAAAUAGUCUCUCAAUGACUGUGAAAUGGAAGCAAUAUCUUGCUAUAAUACUAACUUUGUCGAAUCAAUCAAGAAAAUAUGACCAGGAGAUAAUUUAACGCAGAACCCUUCAAGCAUAGUUCAAGCGAAAUAUGUCAUUCUGCACGUAGAAACUUCCUCCUUGUGUUGGAAUCAAGUGAAACAUCUGACUGAACUUGAGG